GACGAACGCUGGCGGCGUGCUUUACACAUGCAAGUCGAACGGUGGAGGUGGAGCUUGCUCCGCCGGAUCAGUGGCGAACGGGUGAGUAACACGUGGGCAACCUGCCCCUAACUUUGGGAUAACUACUCGAAAGAGUAGCUAAUACCGGAUACGAAGUCUGUAGGCAUCUACGGAUUUGGAAAGUUUUUCGGUUAGGGAUGGGCCCGCGGCCUAUCAGCUUGUUGGUGAGGUAGUGGCUCACCAAGGCGACGACGGGUAGCCGGCCUGAGAGGGCGACCGGCCACACUGGGACUGAGACACGGCCCAGACUCCUACGGGAGGCAGCAGUGGGGAAUAUUGCGCAAUGGGCGAAAGCCUGACGCAGCAACGCCGCGUGCGGGAUGAAGGCCUUCGGGUUGUAAACCGCUUUCAGCAGGGAAGAAGCGAAAGUGACGGUACCUGCAGAAGAAGCACCGGCUAACUACGUGCCAGCCGCCGCCGUAA
rnacentral:rRNA from 1 species